rnacentral:rRNA from 1 species
GACGAACGCUGGCGGCGUGCCUAAUACAUGCAAGUCGAGCGGACUUUCAAGAAGCUUGCUUUUUGAAAGUUAGCGGCGGACGGGUGAGUAACACGUGGGCAACCUGCCUGCAAGACGGGGAUAACUCCGGGAAACCGGGGCUAAUACCGGAUAAUAUCUUCCUUCGCAUGAAGGAAGGUUGAAAGGCGGCGCAAGCUGCCGCUUGCAGAUGGGCCCGCGGCGCAUUAGCUAGUUGGUGAGGUAACGGCUCACCAAGGCGACGAUGCGUAGCCGACCUGAGAGGGUGAUCGGCCACACUGGGACUGAGACACGGCCCAGACUCCUACGGGAGGCAGCAGUAGGGAAUCUUCCGCAAUGGACGAAAGUCUGACGGAGCAACGCCGCGUGAGCGAAGAAGGUCUUCGGAUCGUAAAGCUCUGUUGUCAGGGAAGAACAAGUACCGUUCGAACAGGGCGGUACUUUGACGGUACCUGACCAGAAAGCCACGGCUAACUACGUG